UACGAAGGGGGCUAGCGUUGCUCGGAAUCACUGGGCGUAAAGGGCGCGUAGGCGGCCACCGCAAGUCGGUUGUGAAAUCUCCGGGCUUAACCCGGAAAGGUCAACCGAUACUGCGGGGCUAGAGUGCAGAAGGGGCAACUGGAAUUCUCGGUGUAGCGGUGAAAUGCGUAGAUAUCGAGAGGAACACCUGCGGCGAAGGCGGGUUGCUGGGCUGACACUGACGCUGAUGCGCGAAAGCUAGGGGAGCGAACGGG
rnacentral:rRNA from 1 species